CGGCGUGCCUAAUACAUGCAAGUCGAACGAACUCUGGUAUUGAUUGGUGCUUGCAUCAUGAUUUACAUUUGAGUGAGUGGCGAACUGGUGAGUAACACGUGGGAAACCUGCCCAGAAGCGGGGGAUAACACCUGGAAACAGAUGCUAAUACCGCAUAACAACUUGGACCGCAUGGUCCGAGUUUGAAAGAUGGCUUCGGCUAUCACUUUUGGAUGGUCCCGCGGCGUAUUAGCUAGAUGGUGGGGUAACGGCUCACCAUGGCAAUGAUACGUAGCCGACCUGAGAGGGUAAUCGGCCACAUUGGGACUGAGACACGGCCCAAACUCCUACGGGAGGCAGCAGUAGGGAAUCUUCCACAAUGGACGAAAGUCUGAUGGAGCAACGCCGCGUGAGUGAAGAAGGGUUUCGGCUCGUAAAACUCUGUUGUUAAAGAAGAACAUAUCUGAGAGUAACUGUUCAGGUAUUGACGGUAUUUAACCAGAAAGCCACGGCUAACUACGUGCCAGCAGCCGCGGUAAUACGUAGGUGGCAAGCGUUGUCCGGAUUUAUUGGGCGUAAAGCGAGCGCAGGCGGUUUUUUAAGUCUGAUGUGAAAGCCUUCGGCUCAACCGAAGAAGUGCAUCGGAAACUGGGAAACUUGAGUGCAGAAGAGGACAGUGGAACUCCAUGUGUAGCGGUGAAAUGCGUAGAUAUAUGGAAGAACACCAGUGGCGAAGGCGGCUGUCUGGUCUGUAACUGACGCUGAGGCUCGAAAGUAUGGGUAGCAAACAGGAUUAGAUACCCUGGUAGUCCAUACCGUAAACGAUGAAUGCUAAGUGUUGGAGGGUUUCCGCCCUUCAGUGCUGCAGCUAACGCAUUAAGCAUUCCGCCUGGGGAGUACGGCCGCAAGGCUGAAACUCAAAGGAAUUGACGGGGGCCCGCACAAGCGGUGGAGCAUGUGGUUUAAUUCGAAGCUACGCGAAGAACCUUACCAGGUCUUGACAUACUAUGCAAAUCUAAGAGAUUAGACGUUCCCUUCGGGGACAUGGAUACAGGUGGUGCAUGGUUGUCGUCAGCUCGUGUCGUGAGAUGUUGGGUUAAGUCCCGCAACGAGCGCAACCCUUAUUAUCAGUUGCCAGCAUUAAGUUGGGCACUCUGGUGAGACUGCCGGUGACAAACCGGAGGAAGGUGGGGAUGACGUCAAAUCAUCAUGCCCCUUAUGACCUGGGCUACACACGUGCUACAAUGGAUGGUACAACGAGUUGCGAACUCGCGAGAGUAAGCUAAUCUCUUAAAGCCAUUCUCAGUUCGGAUUGUAGGCUGCAACUCGCCUACAUGAAGUCGGAAUCGCUAGUAAUCGCGGAUCAGCAUGCCGCGGUGAAUACGUUCCCGGGCCUUGUACACACCGCCCGUCACACCAUGAGAGUUUGUAACACCCAAAGUCGGUGGGGUAACCUUUUAGGAACCAGCCGCCUAAGGUGGGACAGAUGAUUAGGG
rnacentral:rRNA from 2 species